AGCGAACGCUGGCGGCAGGCUUAACACAUGCAAGUCGAACGGGCACUUCGGUGCUAGUGGCAGACGGGUGAGUAACACGUGGGAACGUACCUUUCGGUUCGGAAUAAUCCAGGGAAACUUGGACUAAUACCGGAUACGCCCUUCGGGGGAAAGAUUUAUCGCCGAAAGGUCGGCCCGCGUCUGAUUAGCUAGUUGGUGAGGUAAAGGCUCACCAAGGCGACGAUCAGUAGCUGGUCUGAGAGGAUGAUCAGCCACACUGGGACUGAGACACGGCCCAGACUCCUACGGGAGGCAGCAGUGGGGAAUAUUUGACAAUGGGCGAAAGCCUGAUCCAGCCAUGCCGCGUGAGUGAUGAAGGCCUUAGGGUUGUAAAGCUCUUUUGUCCGGGAAGAUAAUGACUGUACCGGAAGAAUAAGCCCCGGCUAACUUCGUGCCAGCCGCCGCAGUAAGAC
rnacentral:rRNA from 1 species